GAGAGAGAGAGAGAGAGAGAAAAUAAUGGUGUAGCUUAGUGGCUCAAAAAUAAUUGUUUGGUCUUGUGUUCAAUAACUGUUGCUGCCCAUUGUAAAAUUUAUUUUUGAGUAGAUCAAACCGGUUCAAACCUGGCCGGGUUUUCAGUUGGCCGGCUACCCGGUCAGUUCAAACUGGUUUUUUCCAAUUCUCAUAAAUAAUGGCUUAAUAUCUAAACCGGACCAGACCAUGGUCCGAUUCCGAUUAAAUCGGUUUAAUUUUCAAAACUACGAGGUUAGGUAUAAAAAAUAAUUAUGGAACU
rnacentral:misc_RNA from 1 species